rnacentral:rRNA from 1 species
UUAAGAAUCUUGGACAAUGGACGCAAGUCUGAUCCAGCGACGCCGCGUGAAUGAUGAAGGUCUUCGGAUUGUAAAGUUCAUUAGACAGGGGAGAAUAAGUUACGGAUAAUACCCGUGAUGAUGACGGUACCUGUUGAAAGCCUCGGCUAAAUACGUGCCAGCAGCCGCGGUAAUACGUAUGAGGCAAGCGUUGUUCGGAAUUAUUGGGCAUAAAGGGCAUUCAGGCGGGACUUUAAGUCGGGUGUGAAAUCUCGAGGCUCAACCUCGAAACUGCAUCCGAUACUGAAGUUCUUGAGUUAGGGAGAGGAAAGCGGAAUUCCAGGUGUAGCGGUGAAAUGCGUAGAUAUCUGGAAGAACACCGGUGGCGAAGGCGGCUUUCUGGCCUAUAACUGACGCUGAAGUGCGAAAGCGUGGGGAGCAAACGGG